rnacentral:lncRNA from 1 species
UUGCCCAGCAACUAAAGGUGGAGGUUCAGCGCAUCGUUAUGCUUUAAGCGAUAGACCUGGGGCAAUGGCCUCUGAUGCGGUUAUCUCAGGUACUAUUUCAAUUUGUUAGAUGUUUCUAUGUUCUUGGAAUCUGGGAUCUUCAUAAUUCUAUGUGUUAUCAUGUCUGUAUCUUGUUUUGGUAUGUCUUGCGCGUCUCGGGCUGGUCCUAUAUAUGUAUCUGUAACAGUUGAGAAUUCUAUUAUUGUGAAUCGGGUCUAUUGGUCAUUGUUCUUACUAUAUGUGAAUGUGACACGAUGGUUAAUCUUCUAUUAUAGAUAUUGAGUGGAUAAAGGAAAUUCAAAUUCUUGAGGAAUUGUUGAGGACUUAGGUAGUUGAUUGUGGAGUUCGUGUAGACAAAAUAUAGGAAUUAUCAAGUUUUAGUUUGAACUACUUAAGUAUCUACUGAUGUUUCAAUUGUGGAGAAUUGAGUUGGCAUUGGAUCUUGCUGAAAACUUAGAUUAUUCUACACCAGCGUUGGUAUGACUAUGCAGAGAUAGAGAAGUAAAAAGGAGUAUGUUUUGAAGUCGUCAGAGUUCUCUUCAGACUGAGUGUUUUGAUUUAAGGUACUAUCACUUGUGAGAGGGAAAAAAUAUCAGGCCUUGUGUUAUUUCAGUAAUAUGCUUCUUGUAAGGAUCGUCGUGCAGGUUUUGACUGAAUAAAUUGUGUCCUAGUAGGAAUCAAGAGGUGUCUUCAAAAGGGAAGUCUGGAGUUUCAUGGACGAAUUUGAGUGCGGGAGUGCUUUGGUUUGUUCGCUUAGAAAGGUUCAAUUUUGAUGGUUCAAUCUUCUAGGAGAUAUCUUUAGGGAGAUAGAGGUGGUCUUCACUACGAUUUCGACAUUGGCAUUACUUAUAGAAUCACAUAAUGCGUGGUGUGUUUAUAAUUUAUUUUGCAAGUAUAGCUAAGUUGUGUGCUUCUUAGGUAAUGGAAUGCCUUCGGAAGGCUUUGACUAGGUGUUUUAGGGGUGGGGUGUUUUGUAAUUAGUCAAAUUGAGAAACUUAUUGAUUGACAUGAAGAGGUUUAUGGAAGUGUUCUUCUAGGGUUGAUUGUGUAUAGAUUCAUAGUGUUUUGGUGGAUGAUUCAGAGUUCAGCAGUGUGAGGAUUCUGUUAUUCUUUAGGUUAAGAGGUUCUAAUUCUAGAGGUAAAACAUCAUUGGGUAGGGUAAUGAGAGUGUAUUAAUGAUUGAAAGGUUGAACUGGUGAAUUCAGCAUAGGUGAUCUUGGGAGGUUAGUACAUGAUGGAAUAUAUGGUCAGUAAUAUGGGGGAUGGAUAGGUUAUUCUAGGGUAUAGGGGAAUGUAUCAUACAGAGGUCUUGGAUAGGGAAGUGUGGUAAAGGGGUAGUGGGAGUUUCUCCUUUGUGCUUGUGACAAUGAUCAUGUUCAGUAAAGGCUUCAGGAGUUGGCAAAUUUUAGUACUUGACGCUUUUGGAUUCCACGAGGUUAGAGACAUCAUGUGUGACUUGUUUAGGUGAAGGACCGUGAGAAAAACGCUAUCGGUGUGUUUCUUGUUAAUUUAGUCGAUAAUGGGUUGUAUCCACAUCUGUGAUUGAGGUUCAUGGUUGGGAUAUUCCUGGAAUGUCCAUGAGUUAAAGAUAAAGCAAUGGAAGGCUUAUGAUUUAUCUCAUAAGAAUUGUUGUUGGCUUUGAGCUGGCUACUAUCGGCCUAUUCAGAUCGUGUGCCCUAUACCGAGUCAGAUUUGCUUAUAUAGGCAAGAUAUGAUAUAGAUAUAUCAUUUGGAAAUUCUAGUCAUUAGAGAUAUUUUGGUUUAGUAGGUUCAAUAAAAGUGGAAUUCUUCAAAACGUUGAGGCAUUUGUAUAAAAUGCUUUUGGGGCAUAGAUUGAGUUGGGUUGGUUGCUUGUAUAUUGAUAGAACAAAUAUUCUGAUCAGGGUUUUAGAUGUUCGGUGAUCGUUGAGGAAGAAUGUCAUAAGCUCAAGAAGUUAUUAUGUUCCAUUACUUUUCUUCAAAUUCAUUGUAUUUGAGCAGAUAUUGAGAUAAGGCAUAACCAUUCUAUUUUGGGACUUGUACAGAAGUUGAUGUCAAUUGUUGGUUGAGUAGUUUGUAAUUGAUGAUACUAAGCUAGUAGGCUCGAAAUUUCUGAAAUUGGACUUGAAUGCGAAUAGCUUUCGAUGAAAAUGCUUUCAGAUGGCUUAGAUCAAGUAAUGGCUACUAUCAGGUGUGAGAAAUUCAUGAAUUAUCACUAUGGACAUUAGUUAGGAGUUUCUAUAGGUUUCUUUUGUCACUAUGUGCGUUGUAAAGAUUUAGAAGAAAGAUAUAUUGAGUUAUGCCAUUUUUGUCGGUGCGGGGUUGGCACGAGCAGUUAUUGCAGUACAUAGAAUAUUAUUAUGAUUAUAAGAUUUAUGGAAUGUACAAGUGGUUGCAAUCGGUUGGUUAAUAUAUGUCAUGAUAUUGUUUAUCAAGAUUGUAAUGAUGAAAAUAUAUGAGAAUUUGACAUAUGAAGAUUCCAAGUGUUAAAGAUGAAUUAAUGGAUUUGUAAGCUUGGGUUGAUGAAGAAAUUCCUAGAAGAGUUAUCCUAAUGGUAUUAGCCGUGUGAAGUAGUGUAUGAUGAGUUACUUGGUUAUUCGACAGCUUUGGAAGGACUCCUAACAUGUUCGAGGACGAAUGUAAUGAUCUAAUCGAUUGUUUUGAGUUUUAACACCUCGUUUCCCUGAUUGAGAUAUUCCCUAGGUGCAUUUCGUGGUUUAUGACUUGAGUACAUAGUUAGAAUGCAUUCCGUGAGGUUUGGAAUUGAUUUGGAACAAUUAGUUCCUAUUUGGAAGCUUCAAGUUGUUAUAGUUGACCGAGGUUUGACUUUUGGUUAAACGGACUCGAAAUUAAUUUUUAAUGGUUCCGCUAGGUUGGUAUGAUGAUUUUGGACUUGGGCAUAUAUUCAGAUUUAAAUUUGGACGACGACAUUCCUAGAAGAUUUUUGACUCCACUUGUCAGAAGUUGGCAAUUUGAAGAAUUUGAGAGUUCUUAAGUUUGACCGAUAGUUUUCUAUGAUGUUAUAGGACCCCUAUUCCUGUUCUGCGACAUAAUAUAGAUUCAUGUUAUUGAGUGUAACUUGUGUGCAAAUCUUGGUUGUGAUCCGGAAUGUCUAAGUAUGAUUCAAAGGCGUUCGAUGAAGUUGGAAGCUGAAAGGCAAGAAAUUUGGUUUGAUCUUUGAUUAUCGGUUUUGAUGUUAUUAUUUGUAUUUCGAGUCAUUAAAUAAGUUUUCAUGAGGUUUAUGAACUUUUAGAAUUAUUAGACGGGUACCUAAAGGUCUUGGGUGAGUUUCGAGGUGGUUUCGGGCGAUUUUGAGAAGUAUAACUGCUGCAGUUUUUUUGUUGUAUAGCAGUAAUUCGCAAUCGUUGAGUUGUGUCUUGUGAUCGCGGAGAAGGAGCUAGUAUGGGCAAAGAUUUUCUAUUCCCGAUUGCGUAGAGCUUGUCCACGAUUGCAUACAAAGGGAGUUUGGGUAAACUUCAUGACCGUGGGGUAAUUAGGUGUGAUUGUGUAAGGGUGAGGCAGGUAAGACAGCAGCCUCCGCGGUCGCAUAGGACUGUGCUGCAAUCAUGGUACACUCUGCCAUUGUUGGUCUUCGCGAUCGCAUAGGAUGGAGCAGCAAUCGCGAUUCAAUGAGACUUGGCAAUACUUAUGAGGCUAAAAAUCAAGAAUUGGUCAUUUUAUCCCGUUUUGAAGCCCUGGCUUCAGGUAAGACGAUUUUGAGCAGAUUUUCACCCAUAGUUCAAGUGGUAAGUAACCUCAACUCACCUUUGAAUUAUUAUCCUAGUUAUUUAUGGAUUUGAGCUUAUAAAUCAAGAGAUUAAAAGAGGGAAAAUGUGAGUUUUGGAGAAAUGUUUGAGAAGUGAUAUUUUGAGGUUUAGAUCAUGAAAUCGAAGUCACAUUUGAGAGAAAAUUAUAUAUUUGGACUUGUGGUGUUAUGAGUAAUCAUAAUCUUCAAUUUAUUUCGAAUUUCGAGCGUGUGGGCCUGAGGUUGAAUUUUUUAAAAUGAGUAAAUAUUGAACCUUUUAAGUAUGAGUUGAUUCCUAAAGCUUAUAAUGACUUAUGUGAACAUCAUUUGACUAGAUACAAGUCAUUUGGUGGUAGAUUGUAAUUUGUUAGGAAAUUGGAAGGCAAGAUGUGCAUUAAGGUGCGGAAAUACUAGAAUUUCAAGGGCUAGAGUAAAGUAUCAAUUUCUGAACCAUUUAAUAUGGUCCAUAUCUAAACACUAUUGCACCAAGGAGUGGCUUGGUCACUGGUUUGGCAUCUGUGAUCAAGUUCUUUCACUCUCCCAUAAGAUUGAAUGUUUUGAUGUAAGUGGAUGAAACCUCUCUCCAACUAGGUCAAAAUAAAUACUGAUGGAAGUCGGAAUGAGGAAGGGGUUAUGGGGGCUAGAGGUAUUAUUAGAGACUCUGAAGGCAAUUUGAUCUUGGCUUUUGCAUAUAGCAUGGGAAGGGGCAGUAGCAAUUUGGUGGAGGCAAAGGCAGCAUGGAUGGGGUGAAGUGGUGUAUUUCACGAGGUUUCCAAAAUAUCGUCCUUGAAUGUGACUCUACGUUAGUAAUCAAUAUGAUUAAAGGGAACGCAAGCUUAGCAUGGCAAAUGCAUGAUAUAAUUUUGGAUACUAAACAACUACUUCAACAUGUGAAAUUUGAGAUCCAACAUUGUUUAUGUGAGGCUAAUCAAGUAGCAUAUGCUCUUGCUAAAUGGGGCAUUGAAGAGAAUGAAUCCAUUUCCUCAAUCCUAGAGAUCUGCCCAGGUGUGACGCAUGACGCAGGACCCUAUUUGAUGGACAAGGAUCAAAUGGCUUCAAUAAGGCAUAAGCAAAGGAGGAACAUGUUGUCAUAAGUUUUUUGUUUUUGGCACUAGUUUGUCUUCGAUAAAUUGGAUGUACAAGGGUACUAAUCUUGUAUAGGAUCAUAGGAGUGUUUAUAACAUAGAUUGUGGAUCUUUGUACUUGUAUACAACCUUGGUUAUUAUUACAGGGGGUUCUUUUUAACAGAGGCUAGGUUGAUGCCCUCCUCUGUUAUGCUGCAAUUUUUUGGUGAGCAAUAUAAGGACUACGCCUCCUAAUCACUACCAAAAACCGGAAUUAUUGCGGCGGUUAAAUAACGGCGGUUCAAAGAAACAGCCGCAAUAUUUAUCAUAAUACGGCGACGUUCCAGACGCCAUUAGUGCGUAAUUGUUAAACCAACAUUUUUUUUGCAAUUACGGCAGUUCUAAACCGCCACUAAUUAGACGAAAUUUUUAAUAAUUCUUUUCCGCUAAUAUUUAAUGUUAUUAUUCAGUAACAUUAUUAAAAAUAUUAGCAUUAAAUUUAAUGAUAACGUAAAUAUCAUUCAAACACCUAAAGCUCCCUAAACAGACACACCUUCUCUCUCUAGACUCUACACCGUCUCUCUCGUUCUCUCUAAACAAGCGAUUCCCCAAAUUAAAUCACUGUAAUAUAAGAGGUUUAAGGAGAUUAGAAUGAUGUAAGACGGUCAUAUCCGUUAACGAUUCUCCCAAAUCCUUUAGCUUUUAUGUAAGGAGAUCAGACUUCAACUCGUUUAAGGUAAUGUGUUUGAAUUCGUCUAUAAAUAGCCCUUUUCUGAUAAAUACUCACUUCAAUACGUCUCCGGUUUCAAGUCGUUCGUGUAAUUCCUUCCAAAAUGCCGUUAAUUUCACUGAUUUAAUGCGUGCAUGUGUGUGUAUUGGAUGGAUAUCAGUUUAAACCACUGAUUUUAGCUGUGAAUUUCACUAAUUUAGGUUUUGAUUUCGCUGUUUUAGCCAUUGAUUUCAUUGAUUUUAGGCGUGCAUCUGUGUGUAUUGGACGAAGAUCAGUUUAAAUCACUGAUUUUAGUUGUCGAUUCACUGCUUAAGCCCAUCAAUUUCACCGUUUGGCAAUCAAUUUUAUUGAUUCGGCUGUCGAUUUCACUGUUUUAGCUGUCAAUUUCUGCUAAUAGUUUUUUUUCCGUUUAUUUUUGUGUCAAGUUUUGUUACUUUUCUAUUCAAUUAAGUUUGUGUUUGUUUAAAUUUUGACAUUUUUUAUUUUUUUUUCUGCUAAUAUUAACCUAAAUAUCAUUUAUUGCCUUGAUAGGUAGCUAAGGAAUCUAAAACAGCUGGUAAAACUAUUGGGAUCGACAUCAACAAAAUCAUAUUUGAUAGGUAUAGCUCUUGUUAGUUAACUUUAUCCUUUCUUUUGAGCAGAUG